rnacentral:lncRNA from 1 species
AUACAUAGGUUAGAAUGCUUUUUACAAUACCAAUGACUUGAUGCUCGUAGAUUUUUAGCUUUUGGAUGAAGAUUUGUAAGGUUGCAAUGAUAAUGAUUCUUUUACAGUUUAGUCGGUGAUCGGUGAAAUAGUAUAAUUUAAAAAGUAAAAUUGAUUAAAAAAAUAGAUUUAAUAAUAAAAAAGUUGAUAGUACCGAAUAGUUGUUGCUACUAGAAGGAU